rnacentral:snoRNA from 1 species
CCUGCUCCUAGACGUGUUGCAGGUGAGGCUGCUGUGCCACAUGUUCGCCAGUAGGUGGCAGAGAGGAGAGUGCUCAGCGUUCUGAACUGUGAACAUCUGAAUGAUUAGUAGUAGCCUAACAAU